GACGCACAGCUGAGACCAGGGUUUAAGAUUGUAUUGGGAAGUGAAUGUGUGGUCACUAAUUUGAAAUUUUUUUUGUCCAGGAAGAAAAGCUUGAGGAGGAGAAACGACAGCAGGUGUUUUUGCUGCAGGAGCUGGAAGAGCAGAAGGCCAAGCUGGAGCAGAUGCUGCUUGAGGAUCAGCAGGAGAGAGAAGACCUGAAAGCUGCUGUGACACAGGAAAUACCCGUUCACCAACUAGAGGAACCGGCCCGUGACCAGGAAGUCACCUCAGUUAAUGUGAAUGCAGGUGAAGAUGACCACACCAGAAGGAUUAGACAAUAUCAGCAGCGACUGUUGGACCAAAACAGAAUUCAUCAGAGGUCAGUGGAAGUUGCUCGUCACCGUCUGGCAGAAUACCAACGAGCUUUACAAAUUCGUUACAACAUGGCAGCCUCAUCGUUGCCACCUGUUGUUGUACCUCCAAAUGUUGUUCAGCCACCUCUGCAGAGACCACCACCUGUUCAACUUCCACCUCCACUGCGACUCCCAACCACUCCAGUGGUGCCUGUAAACACUCAAGUUGAACCACAGAUUGCUGUGAAUGUUACUGACACACUGGCCUCACUUUCUAAUGUACCUGGCUUUACUUUGAGCUCCAAGUUGCCGCUGCAUCAAGUGGAAUCUGUUUCGAGCUCCACCAUGAACCCAAGACGUGCUGUCACUUCUUGGCUGACUGACAGCAUAAUGGAGAGGGUAACGCAGCACCUUCCAGAGAGGAUGAGACCCUCCUCAGUCACCAAAGAGACACCACUUCACAAAGCUUGCACAACACAUCACGCAUCCAGUAUCCCACCUCAGCCUGAUCCCGUCCAAGCCUUCAGUCCAAGCACCACAGACAGGACACCUGUGCCUUCAGGCCAUGCAGUGGUUAACAAGGACACUCCACCACAGGAACACCUGCAGACCGAAUACCUGAGCUCCACAGAGGCUACCUUGGAGAGGCAGAGACGAGAGCUGCAGGAAGCCAAGAGACGUGUGUCAAGGCAGAGGGAGGCGUUGCUGCUGCAGCAGAGGCUGCAAGAGGAGGAGAGGCAGAGACAAGAAGCAGAGAUGGAGCAGAUAAGGAGGCAGAAGGAGACUCUGCAGGCCCCGAUUGAUACUGAUGAACAAGUAAGUGAGAACAGUGUGGUGUAGUGGACAAAAGCUGACACAGAAAAUGCCCCCUUCUGUUGUUGUGUGUGUGUGUGUGUGUUUUGCCCUCACUCACAGCCCGUUCAGAGACGGCUGGGGAAGUCCUGACUGCAGAGAACACCGGCCAGUACCGCCUGAGAUUACUUGCAUCCCUCCUGAGAGCUAUAGAGGAGUCUAACGAGGAACAUUAUCACACAUGGAAGACUCUGAGAAGGACGAAGAUCCUCCUCAAUUGCUCCCUAACAGUGAUGGGACAGUUAGAUGUUUUUACAUUUAAGAUCAGAACUCAUUUAUAUUUCAGAUAGAAAGAAUCCUUUUGAGGCUCUGGUGUCAUGUUUUUAAGGCUUGAUUAGCAUUAAAAUGCAUGUAUUUAUUUAAGCUUCCACGGCUCUGAUUGUGUUCCUGCUGGACCUCCUGCCACAUCUGUCCCCCCUUCAGGACUCCUCCAUCCUCUUCAUGCAGCAAAGCCUCCGGUGACACGGUGUCAGGCUGGGCUUGAUGACUGAACAACAUGAGCUCAGUGCUAUUCAAGAGGUGGAGACUCCAGUCAACACCAGCCAAGUCACAGGUCUGACUCAGCUCUACAGACACCUGAAUGAUUUCCCUCUGCAGAGAGGGAUGCCUCUUGACUGGUUUGUUGAUGCUUCUUAUCUCCAGGCCCAGAGGACCCUGUGGCAGUAACUUCACACUCUGCAGGCUGGGAUCCUCAGGAAGAAUCUGUACCCUCUGUGACCUCUGACCUGACCCUCUACCCACCAGAUGACAGAACUUCCAGCUCGGAUGAAUCCAGUCAUCUCAUCUGGAGAGAGCGACUGCUCGUGGGGGCAGGAACGUCUCCAGAAUCCUCAGGUAUGAAGAGUGAGAACAUGGCAAAUACUAGAUAAUGGUAAAAAAUUAAAGUCACUUCUUGUCUCCCAGAUUCAGGCCUGAGAAGGAUCUCGGCACUCUCCUCUGACUCUGGGAGAGGAGCUGACUUCUCUGGUCCUGCAGCCACAAGCAACAG
rnacentral:lncRNA from 1 species